CCUGCCCCUAAAGGUGCUACAGGUGUGGCUACUGUGUCACAUGUACAUCAGUAGGUAUCAGAGAGGAGAGAGGCUAUGGGUAUGCUCAGUGUUCUGACCUGUGUAGCCUAACACU
rnacentral:snoRNA from 1 species